AGUGAAAGGGGCUUUGGUGACAUUGACCACCCCUCCCCUGCCCUGGUACCCCCGACAAGCUGGAGCCAGGAGAAAGCUGUGGGGUUAGGUAAAGAGUUGCUAGGACCAUCCCCAACCAGAGAGCUGUGGUUGAAGUUGCUGACCUUCAACUUCACCUUUCACAAUGUUAGGGAAAACUUGUCUCCAGUGUUGCAGUGGUCUGGGGAUAAACAAGAACUCAUACCAAUGCCUAUUGUGGUGCCUAACACUCAAUCGUCUUUAUUCCUGAUGCUAUGAAGAGGUACAACUUUCUUGAAGCUCCAUCCUCCCUGGAAGGCCAAGUUGGAGGCCCACUCGACUGUGGGCUUGGAGGCAGUUUUGCACACGGACCUUCAGAGUGUCCUGCCCUCUCAAUUCUGAGACCGCCCACAUUCCAGAGAACCCAGAGACUGUCAACAGUCACCAUCCUUCUAAAGUAGCUACGGGGAGGUAGAGGUUGGGAGAGAAGGAGACAAAGAGAAGAAAAUCAGGAUAUGCAGGCGUAUGUGUGCAGGAGGCAAAUCCUCAAGCAUUUGGAUCUGCAAAGAUUUAGGAGGGUCUUUCUGAUAGAAGGAUUUUUGGCCAAGAGCUGGAAGACUGGGGCUAUAGGCAAACAAGAGCCCAGUUCAAUAACUCAUUAUUAGACACCUACUAUAUGCCAGCCCCUGCUCCUCACGGGGCAGAUGAAGGAAAAGUUAUUGCGAUCGAGGUGUUGGCACCGGGAAGAUAAACGUGGAGCCCUGCCUCUCUCCACCGCUGAGCAGAAUUUCUGGCAUAGUAAAUUAUGGAACAAUGGAAGAAGCAAGAACGUGUGACACAUAAUCAACAGAAAAAGAGUCAGUAGAAACAGACCCUCAGAUGGCCUAAAUGUUAAAAUUAUCGGACAAAGGACUUUAAAAUGACUAUAAUAAAUAUACGAAAAGGUGAACAACAUGCAUUAAUACAUGGGGAAUUCCAAGAAGCAAUGGAAUCUGUAAAAAAGAACCAAGUGGACAUGAUAGAAGUAAAAAAAAUAAAAUAUGAGAAAUGAAGAGUUCA